UACGGGGGGAGCAAGCGUUGUUCGGAUUUACUGGGCGUAAAGGGCGCGUAGGCGGCCUCCGCAAGUCGACUGUGAAAUCUCCGGGCUUAGCCCGGAAAGGUCAGCCGAAACUGCGGGGCUAGAGUGCAGAAGGGGCAACUGGAAUUCUCGGUGUAGCGGUGAAAUGCGUAGAUAUCGAGAGGAACACCUGCGGCGAAGGCGGGUUGCUGGGCUGACACUGACGCUGAAGCGCGAAAGCUAGGGGAGCGAACGGG
rnacentral:rRNA from 1 species